rnacentral:rRNA from 1 species
GAAUUCACUAGUGAUUGAGUUUGAUCCUGGCUCAGGAUGAACGCUAGCGGCAGGCCUAACACAUGCAAGUCGAGGGGUAGAACACUUCGGUGUUUGAGACCGGCGCACGGGUGCGUAACGCGUAUGCAAUCUACCUUGUACAGGGGAAUAGCCCAGAGAAAUUUGGAUUAAUGCCCCAUAGUAUAUAACCUUCGCAUGUUGGUUAUAUUAAAGUUCCAACGGUACAAGAUGAGCAUGCGUCCCAUUAGUUAGUUGGUAAGGUAACGGCUUACCAAGACGAUGAUGGGUAGGGGUCCUGAGAGGGAGAUCCCCCACACUGGUACUGAGACACGGACCAGACUCCUACGGGAGGCAGCAGUGAGGAAUAUUGGUCAAUGGUCGCAAGACUGAACCAGCCAUGCCGYGUGCAGGAAKACGGUCCUAUGGAUUGUAAACUGCUUUUAUACAGGAAGAAACCCUCCCACGUGUGGGAGCUUGACGGUACUGUAGGAAUAAGGAUCGGCUAACUCCGUGCCAGCAGCCGCGGUAAUACGGAGGAUCCAAGCGUUAUCCGGAAUCAUUGGGUUUAAAGGGUCCGUAGGCGGUCUUAUAAGUCAGUGGUGAAAGCCCAUC